CAACCCACACCGCCCCUGCCAGCCACCAUGGGGCUGCCACUAGCCCGCCUGGCGGCUGUGUGCCUGGCCCUGUCUUUGGCAGGGGGCUCGGAGCUCCAGACAGAGGGCAGAACCCGAAACCACGGCCACAACGUCUGCAGCACCUGGGGCGACUUCCACUACAAGACCUUCGACGGGGACGUCUUCCGCUUCCCCGGCCUCUGCGACUACAACUUCGCCUCCGACUGCCGAGGCUCCUACAAGGAAUUUGCUGUGCACCUGAAGCGGGGUCCGGGCCAGGCUGAGGCCCCCGCCGGGGUGGAGUCCAUCCUGCUGACUAUCAAGGAUGACACCAUCUACCUCACCCGCCACCUGGCUGUGCUGAACGGGGCCAUGGUCAGCACCCCGCACUACAGCCCCGGGCUGCUCAUUGAGAAGAGCGAUGCCUACACCAAAGUCUACUCCCGCGCCGGCCUCACCCUCAUGUGGAACCGGGAGGAUGCACUCAUGCUGGAGCUGGACACUAAGUUCCGGAACCACACCUGUGGCCUCUGCGGGGACUACAACGGCCUGCAGAGCUAUUCAGAAUUCCUCUCUGACGGUGAGGCCCGGAGGGCUUGGCGGGGGCAGGGUGGGCUACGGGUCCCCAGGAGCCCCAGCUGAAGGGCCGUGCAUCCCCAGGCGUGCUCUUCAGUCCCCUGGAGUUUGGGAACAUGCAGAAGAUCAACCAGCCCGAUGUGGUGUGUGAGGAUCCCGAGGAGGAGGUGGCCCCCGCAUCCUGCUCCGAGCACGUGAGUCCCCUCGGUCCGGGGUGGGGGUCCUGGCGGAGCUGGCCUCUGAGCAGCAUGCUCACCCUGCGUCUGUCCCCAGCGCGCCGAGUGUGAGAGGCUGCUGACCGCCGAGGCCUUCGCAGACUGCCAGGACCUGGUGCCGCUGGAGCCGUAUCUGCGUGCCUGCCAGCAGGACCGCUGCCGGUGCCCGGGCGGUGACACCUGCGUCUGCAGCACCGUGGCCGAGUUCUCCCGCCAGUGCUCCCACGCCGGCGGCCGGCCCGGGAACUGGAGGACCGCCACGCUCUGCCCCAAGACCUGCCCCAGGAACCUGGUGUACCUGGAGAGCGGCUCGCCCUGCAUGGACACCUGCUCACACCUGGAGGUGAGCAGCCUGUGCGAGGAGCACCGCAUGGACGGCUGUUUCUGCCCAGAAGGCACCGUAUAUGACGACAUCGGGGACAGUGGCUGCGUUCCUGUGAGCCAGUGCCACUGCAGGCUGCACGGACACCUAUACACACCGGGCCAGGAGAUCACCAAUGACUGCGAGCAGUGGUGAGUCCCGGGGCCAGGGCUGGGCACAGCAGAGGCUGGGGUGGCUGAGCCCUGACCCUGUGCCCCGCUGCCCAACAGUGUCUGUAACGCUGGCCGCUGGGUGUGCAAAGACCUGCCCUGCCCUGGCACCUGUGCCCUGGAAGGCGGCUCCCACAUCACCACCUUCGAUGGGAAGACGUACACCUUCCACGGGGACUGCUACUAUGUCCUGGCCAAGGGUGACCACAACGAUUCUUACGCUCUCCUGGGCGAGCUGGCCCCCUGCGGCUCCACAGACAAGCAGACCUGCCUGAAGACGGUGGUGCUGCUGACUGACAAGAAGAAGAAUGUGGUGGUCUUCAAGUCCGAUGGCAGUGUGCUGCUCAACGAGCUGCAGGUGAACCUGCCCCACGUGACCGCGAGCUUCUCUGUCUUCCGCCCGUCUUCCUACCACAUCAUGGUGAGCAUGGCCAUUGGCGUCCGGCUGCAGGUGCAGCUGGCCCCAGUCAUGCAACUCUUUGUGACACUGGACCAGGCCUCCCAGGGGCAGGUGCAGGGCCUCUGCGGGAACUUCAACGGCCUGGAAGGUGACGACUUCAAGACGGCCAGUGGGCUGGUGGAGGCCACAGGGGCCGGCUUUGCCAACACCUGGAAGGCACAGUCAAGCUGCCAUGACAAGCUGGACUGGUUGGACGAUCCCUGCUCCCUGAACAUCGAGAGCGCCAACUAUGCCGAGCACUGGUGCUCCCUCCUGAAGAAGACAGAGACCCCCUUUGGCAGGUGCCACUCGACCGUGGACCCUGCUGAGUAUUACAAGAGGUGCAAAUAUGACACGUGUAACUGUCAGAACAAUGAGGACUGCCUGUGCGCCGCCCUGUCCUCCUACGCGCGCGCCUGCACCGCCAAGGGCGUCAUGCUGUGGGGCUGGCGGGAGCAUGUCUGCAACAAGGAUGUGGGCUCCUGCCCCAACUCGCAGGUCUUCCUGUACAACCUGACCACCUGCCAGCAGACGUGCCGCUCCCUCUCCGAGGCCGACAGCCACUGUCUCGAGGGCUUUGCGCCUGUGGACGGCUGCGGCUGCCCUGACCACACCUUCCUGGACGAGAAGGGCCGCUGCGUGCCCCUGGCCAAGUGCUCCUGCUACCACCGCGGUCUCUACCUGGAGGCGGGGGACGUGGUCGUCAGGCAGGAAGAACGAUGUGUGUGCCGGGAUGGGCGGCUGCACUGUAGGCAGAUCCGGCUGAUCGGCCAGAGCUGCACGGCCCCAAAGAUCCACAUGGACUGCAGCAACCUGACCGCACUGGCCACCUCGAAGCCCCGAGCCCUCAGCUGCCAGACGCUGGCCGCCGGCUAUUACCACACAGAGUGUGUCAGUGGCUGUGUGUGCCCCGACGGGCUGAUGGAUGACGGCCGGGGCGGCUGCGUGGUGGAGAAGGAAUGUCCUUGCGUCCAUAACAACGACCUGUAUUCUUCCGGGGCCAAGAUCAAGGUGGACUGCAAUACCUGCACCUGCAAGAGAGGACGCUGGGUGUGCACCCAGGCUGUGUGCCAUGGCACCUGCUCCAUUUACGGGAGUGGCCACUACAUCACCUUUGACGGGAAGUACUACGACUUUGACGGACACUGCUCCUACGUGGCUGUUCAGGACUACUGCGGCCAGAACUCCUCACUGGGCUCAUUCAGCAUCAUCACCGAGAACGUCCCCUGUGGCACCACGGGCGUCACCUGCUCCAAGGCCAUCAAGAUCUUCAUGGGGAGGACGGAGCUGAAGUUGGAAGACAAGCACCGUGCAGUGAUCCAGCGUGAUGAGGGCCACCACGUGGCCUACACCACGCGGGAGGUGGGCCAGUACCUGGUGGUGGAGUCCAGCACGGGCAUCAUCGUCAUCUGGGACAAGAGAACCACGGUGUUCAUCAAGCUGGCUCCCUCCUACAAGGGCACCGUGUGUGGCCUGUGUGGGAACUUUGACCACCGCUCCAACAACGACUUCACCACGCGGGACCACAUGGUGAUGAGCAGCGAGCUGGACUUCGGGAACAGCUGGAAGGAGGCCCCCACCUGCCCAGAUGUGAGCACCAACCCCGAACCCUGCAGCCUGAACCCGCACCGCCGCUCCUGGGCCGAGAAGCAGUGCAGCAUCCUCAAAAGCAGCGUGUUCAGCAUCUGCCACAGCAAGGUGGACCCCAAGCCCUUCUACGAGGCCUGUGUGCAUGACUCGUGCUCCUGUGACACGGGUGGGGACUGUGAGUGCUUCUGCUCUGCCGUGGCCUCCUACGCCCAGGAGUGUACCAAAGAGGGGGCCUGCGUGUUCUGGAGGACGCCGGACCUGUGCCCCAUAUUCUGCGACUACUACAACCCUCCGCAUGAGUGUGAGUGGCACUAUGAGCCGUGUGGGAACCGGAGCUUCGAGACCUGCAGGACCAUCAACGGCAUCCACUCCAACAUCUCCGUGUCCUACCUGGAGGGCUGCUACCCCCGGUGCCCCAAGGACAGGCCCAUCUAUGAGGAGGAUCUGAAGAAGUGUGUCACUGCAGACAAGUGUGGCUGCUACGUCGAGGACACCCACUACCCACCUGGAGCGUCGGUUCCCACCGAGGAGAUCUGCAAGUCUUGCGUGUGCACCAACUCCUCCCAAGUCGUCUGCAGGCCGGAGGAAGGAAAGAUUCUUAACCAGACCCAGGAUGGCGCCUUCUGCUACUGGGAGAUCUGUGGCCCCAACGGGACGGUGGAGAAGCACUUCAACAUCUGUUCCAUUACGACACCCCCGUCCACCCUGACCACCUUCACCACCAUCACCCUCCCCACCACCCCCACCACCUUCACCACUACCACCACCACCACCACCCCGACCUCCAGCACAGUUUUAUCAACAACUCCGAAGCUGUGCUGCCUCUGGUCUGACUGGAUCAAUGAGGACCACCCCAGCAGGGGCAGCGACGGCGGCGACCGAGAAACAUUUGAUGGGGUCUGCGGGGCCCCUGAGGACAUCGAGUGCAGGUCGGUCAAGGAUCCCCACCUCAGCUUGGAGCAGCUAGGCCAGAAGGUGCAGUGCGAUGUCUCUGUUGGGUUCAUUUGCAAGAAUGAAGACCAGUUUGGAAAUGGACCAUUUGGACUGUGUUACGACUACAAGAUACGUGUCAAUUGUUGCUGGCCCAUGGAUAAGUGUAUCACCACUCCCAGCCCUCCAACUACCACUCCCAGCCCUCCACCAACCAGCACGACCACCCUUCCACCAACCACCACCCCCAGCCCUCCAACCACCACCACAACCACCCCUCCACCAACCACCACCCCCAGCCCUCCAAUAACCACCACGACCACCCCUCCACCAACCACCACUCCCAGCCCUCCAAUAACCACCACGACCACCCCUCCACCAACCACCACUCCCAGCCCUCCAACUACCACUCCCAGCCCUCCAACCACCACUCCCAGCCCUCCAACAACCACUCCCAGCCCUCCAACCACCACUCCCAGCCCUCCAACCACCACUCCCAGCCCUCCAACAACCACUCCCAGCCCUCCAACUACCACUCCCAGUCCUCCAACCACCACUCCCAGCCCUCCAACUACCACUCCCAGCCCUCCAACAACCACCACAACCACCCCUCCACCAACCACCACUCCCAGCCCUCCAACAACCACCACUCCCAGGCCUCCAAUAACCACCACAACCACCCCUCCACCAACCACCACUCCCAGCCCUCCAACAACCACCACGACCACCCCUUCACCAACCACCACCCCCAGCUCUCCAAUAACCACCACAACCACCCCUUCCUCAACUACCACUCCCAGCCCUCCACCAACCACCACGACCACCCCUUCACCAACCACCACUUCCAGCCCUCUAACAACUACUCCUCUACCUCCAUCAAUAACUCCUGCUACAUUUUCACCAUUCUCAACGACAACCCCUACUAUCCCAUGCGUGCCUGUCUGCAAUUGGACUGGCUGGCUGGAUUCUGGAAAACCCAACUUUCACAAACCAGGUGGAGAUAUGGAAUUGAUUGGAGACGUCUGUGGACCAGGCUGGGCAGCUAACAUCUCUUGCAGAGCCACCAUGUAUCCUGAUGUUCCCAUUGGACAGCUUGGACAAACGGUGGUGUGUGAUGUCUCUGUGGGGCUGGUAUGCAAAAAUGAAGACCAAAAGCCAGGUGGGGUCAUCCCUAUGGCCUUCUGCCUCAACUACGAGAUCAACGUUCAGUGCUGUGAGUGUGUCACCCAACCCACCACCAUGACACCCACCGGCACACAGACCCCAACAUCGACACCCAUCACCACCACCACUACGGUGACCCCAACCCCAACACCCACCGGCACACAGAGUACAACCCCGACACUCAUCACCACCACCAGUACGGUGACCCGAACCCCAACACCCACGGGCACACAGACCCCAACAUCGACACCCAUCACCACCACCACUACGGUGACCCCAACCCCAACACCCACCAGCACACAGACCCCAACCCCGACACCCAUCAGCACCACCAUUACGGUGACCCCAACCCCAACACCCACCGGCACACAGACCCCAACAUCGACACCCAUCACCACCACUACGGUGACCCCAACCCCAACACCCAUCGGCACACAGACCCCAACAUCGACACCCAUCACCACCACCACUACGGUGACCCCAACCCCAACACCGACCGGCACACAGACCCCAACAUCGACACCCAUUGCCACCACCACUACGGUGACCCCAACGCCAACACCCACCAGCACACAGACCCCAACAUCGACACCCAUCACCACCACCACUACGGUGACCCCAACCCCAACACCCACCGGCACACAGACCCCAACCCCGACAGCCAUCACCACCACCACUACGGUGACCCCAACCCCAACACCCACGGGCACACAGACCCCAACAUCGACACCCAUCAGCACCAUCACUACGGUGACCCCAACCCCAACACCCACCGGCACACAGACCCCAACCCUGACACCCAUCAGCACCACCAUUACGGUGACCCCAACCCCAACACCCACCAGCACACAGACCCCAAAAUCGACACCCAUCACCACCACCAGUACGGUGACCCCAACGCCAACACCCACCGGCACACAGACCCCAACAUCGACACCCAUCACCACCACCACUACGGUGACCCCAACCCCAACACCCACCGGCACACAGACCCCAACCCCGAAAGCCAUCACCACCACGACUAUGGUGACCCCAACCCCAACACCCACCGGCUCACAGACCCCAACAUCGACACCCAUCACCACCACCACUACGGUGACCCCAACCCCAACACCCACCGGCACACAGAGUACAACCCCGACACCCAUCACCACCACCACUACGGUGACCCCAACCCCAACACCCACCAGCACACAGACCCCAACGACGACACCCAUCACCACCACUACAGUGACACCAACUCCGACACCCACCGGCACACAGACCCCAACCACGACACCCAUCACCACCACUACGGUGAUCCCAACCCCAACACCCACCGGCACACAGACCCUAACCCCAACCACCAUCACCACCACCACUACGGUGACCCCAACCCCAACACCCACCGGCACACAGAGUACAACCCCGACACCCAUCACCACCACCACUACGGUGACCCCAACCCCAACACCCACCGGCACACAGAGUACAACCCCCACACCCAUCACCACCACCACUACGGUGACCCCAACCCCAACACCCACCGGCACACAGACCCCAACCACGACACCCAUCACCACCACUACGGUGACACCAACUCCAACACCCACCGGCACACAGACCCCAACUACGACACCCAUCACCACAACUACGGUGACUCCAACCCCAACAACCACUGGCACACAGACCCUAACCCCAACCACCAUCACCACCACCACUAUGGUGACCCCAACCCCAACACCCACCGGCACACAGAGUACAACCCUGACACCCAUCACCACCACCACUACGGUGACCCCAACCCCAACACCCACCGGCACACAUACCCCAACAUCGACACCCAUCACCACCACCACUACGGUGACCCAAACCCCAACACCCACAGGCACACAGACCGCAACAUCGACACCCAUCACCACUACCACUAUGGUGACCCCAACCCCAACACCCACCGGCACACAGACCCCAACCCUGACACCCAUCAGCACCACCACUACGGUGACCCCAACCCCAACACCCACCGGCACACAGACCCCAACCACGACACCCAUCACCACCACCACUACGGUGACCCCAACCCCAACACCCACCAGCACACAGAGUACAACCCCGACACCCAUCACCACCACGUCUACGGUGACCCCAACCCCAACACCCACCGGCACACAGAGUACAACCCCGACACCCAUCGCCACCACCACUAUGGUGACCCCAACGCCAACACCCACCGGCACACAGACCCCAACAUCGACACCCAUCACCACCACCACUACGGUGACCCCAACCCCAACACCCACCGGCACACAGACCCCAACCCCGACAGCCAUCACCACCACCACUACGGUGACCCCAACCCCAACACCCACCGGCACACAGAGUACAACCCCGACCCCCAUCACCACCACCACUACGGUGACCCCAACCCCAACACCCACCGGCACACAGACCCCAACAUCGACACCCAUCACCACCACCACUACGGUGACCCCAACCCCAACAUCCACUGGCACACAGACCCCAACAUCGACACCCAUCACCACCACCACUACAGUGACCCCAACCCCAACCCCCACCGGCACACAGAGUACAACCCCGACACCCGUCACCACCACCACUAUGGUGACCCCAACCCCAACACCCACCGACACUCAGACCCCAACCACGACACCCAUCACCACCACGUCUACGGUGACCCCAACCCCAACACCCACCAGCACACAGACCCCAACAUCGACACCCAUCACCACCACCACUACGGUGACCCCAACCCCAACACCCACCGGCACACAGAGUACAACCCCGACACCCGUCACCACCACCACUACGGUGACCCCAACCCCAACACCCACCGGCACACAGACCCCAACAUCGACACCCAUCACCACCACCACUACGGUGACCCCAACCCCAACACCCACCGGCACACAGAGUACAACCCCGACACCCAUCGCCACCACCACUACGGUGACCCCAACGCCAAUACCCACCGGCACACAGACCCCAACAUCGACACCCAUCACCACCACCACUACGGUGACCCCAACCCCAACACCCACCGGCACACAGACCCCAACCCCGACAGCCAUCACCACCACCACUACGGUGACCCCAACCCCAACACCCACCGGCACACAGAGUACAACCCCGACACCCGUCACCACCACCACUACGGUGACCCCAACCCCAACACCCACCGGCACACAGAGUACAACCCCGACCCCCAUCACCACCACCACUACGGUGACCCCAACCCCAACACCCACCGGCACACAGACCCCAACAUCGACACCCAUCACCACCACCACUACGGUGACCCCAACCCCAACAUCCACUGGCACACAGACCCCAACAUCGACACCCAUCACCACCACCACUACAGUGACCCCAACCCCAACCCCCACCGGCACACAGAGUACAACCCCGACACCCGUCACCACCACCACUAUGGUGACCCCAACCCCAACACCCACCGACACUCAGACCCCAACCACGACACCCAUCACCACCACGUCUACGGUGACCCCAACCCCAACACCCACCAGCACACAGACCCCAACAUCGACACCCAUCACCACCACCACUACGGUGACCCCAACCCCAACACCCACCGGCACACAGAGUACAACCCCGACACCCGUCACCACCACCACUACGGUGACCCCAACCCCAACACCCACCGGCACACAGACCCCAACAUCGACACCCAUCACCACCACCACUACGGUGACCCCAACCCCAACACCCACCGGCACACAGAGUACAACCCCGACACCCAUCACCACCACGUCUACGGUGACCCCAACCCCAACACCCACCGGCACACAGAGUACAACCCCGACACCCAUCACCACCACGUCUACGGUGACCCCAACCCCAACACCCACCGGCACACAGAGUACAACCCUGACACCCAUCACCACCACGUCUACGGUGACCCCAACCCCAACCCCCACCGGCACACAGAGUACAACCCCGACACACAUCACCACCACGUCUACGGUGACCCCAACCCCAACACCCACCGGCACACAGAGUACAACCGCGACACCCAUCACCACCACCACUAUGGUGACCCAAACCCCAACACCCACCAGCACACAGACCCCAACCACAGCACCCAUCACCACCACCACUACGGUGACCCCAACCCCAACACCCACCGGCACACAGACCCCAACCCCUACCGUCAUCACCGCCACCACUACGGUGACACCAACUCCAACACCCACCGGCACACAGACCCCAACAUCGACACCCAUCACCACCACGACUACGGUGACCCCAACCCCAACACCCACCACUGGAAGCACGGGGCCCCCCACCCGCACAAGCACAGCACCCACUGCUGAGUUGACCACAUCCAAACCUCCGCCUGAGUCCUCAACCCCUCAGACCUCUCGGUCCACCUCUUCCCCUCUCAUGGAGUCAACCACCCUUCUGAGUACCCUAUCACCUGCCAUUGAGACGACCAGCACGGCCCCACCCUCCACACCCACGGCACCCACGACCACGAGAGGAGGCCACACACUUUCUCCACCGCCCAGCACCACCACCUCCCCUCCAGGCACCCCCACUCGCGGUACCACGACUGGGUCAUCUUCGGCCCCCACCCCCAGCACUGUGCAGACGACCACCACCAGCGCCUGGACCCCCACGCCGACCCCACUCUCCACACCCAGCAUCAUCACGACCACAGGCCUGAGGCCCUACCCUUCCUCUGUGCUUAUCUGCUGUGUCCUGAACGACACCUACUACGCACCAGGUGAGGAGGUGUACAACGGCACAUACGGAGACACCUGUUAUUUCGUCAACUGCUCACUGAGCUGUACGUUGGAGUUCUAUAACUGGUCCUGCCCAUCCACGCCCUCCCCAACGCCCACGCCCUCCAAGUCGACGCCCACGCCCUCCAAGUCGACGCCCACGCCUUCCAAGCCAUCGCCCACGCCCUCCAAGCCGACGCCCAGCACCAAGCCCCCCGAGUGCCCAGACUUUGAUCCUCCCAGACAGGAGAACGAGACUUGGUGGCUGUGCGACUGCUUCAUGGCCACGUGCAAGUACAACAACACGGUGGAGAUCGUGAAGGUGGAGUGUGAGCCGCCGCCCAUGCCCACCUGCUCUAACGGCCUCCAACCCGUGCGCGUUGAGGACCCUGACGGCUGCUGCUGGCACUGGGAGUGUGACUGCUACUGCACGGGCUGGGGCGACCCGCACUAUGUCACCUUCGAUGGACUCUACUACAGCUACCAGGGCAACUGCACCUACGUGCUGGUGGAGGAGAUCAGCCCCUCCGUGGACAACUUCGGAGUUUACAUCGACAACUACCACUGCGAUCCCAACGACAAGGUGUCCUGCCCCCGCACCCUCAUCGUGCGCCACGAGACCCAGGAGGUGCUGAUCAAGACUGUGCAUAUGAUGCCCAUGCAGGUGCAGGUGCAGGUGAACAGGCAGGCGGUGGCGCUGCCCUACAAGAAGUACGGGCUGGAGGUGUACCAGUCUGGCAUCAACUACGUGGUGGACAUCCCCGAGCUGGGUGUCCUCGUCUCCUACAAUGGCCUGUCCUUCUCCGUCAGGCUGCCCUACCACCGGUUUGGCAACAACACCAAGGGCCAGUGUGGCACCUGCACCAACACCACCUCCGACGACUGCAUUCUGCCCAGCGGGGAGAUCAUCUCCAACUGUGAGGCUGCGGCCGACCAGUGGCUGGUGAACGACCCCUCCAAGCCACACUGCCCCCACAGCAGCUCCACGACCAAGCGCCCGGCCGUCACUGUGCCCGGGGGCGGCAAAACAACCCCACACAAGGACUGCACCCCAUCUCCCCUCUGCCAGCUCAUCAAGGACAGCCUGUUUGCCCAGUGCCACGCACUGGUGCCCCCGCAGCACUACUACGAUGCCUGCGUGUUCGACAGCUGCUUCAUGCCAGGCUCGAGCCUGGAGUGCGCCAGUCUGCAGGCCUACGCAGCCCUCUGCGCCCAGCAGAACGUCUGCCUCGACUGGCGGAACCACACGCAUGGGGCCUGCUUGGUGGAGUGCCCAUCUCACAGGGAGUAUCAGGCCUGUGGCCCUGCAGAAGAGCCCACGUGCAAAUCCAGCUCCUCCCAGCAGAACAACGCAGUCCUGGUGGAAGGCUGCUUCUGUCCUGAGGGCACCAUGAACUACGCUCCUGGCUAUGAUGUCUGCGUGAAGACCUGCGGCUGUGUGGGACCUGACAAUGUGCCCAGAGAGUUUGGGGAGCACUUUGAGUUCGACUGCAAGAACUGUGUCUGCCUGGAGGGUGGAAGUGGCAUCAUCUGUCAGCCCAAGAGGUGCAGCCAGAAGCCCGUUACCCACUGCGUGGAAGACGGCACCUACCUCGCCACGGAGGUCAACCCCGCCGACACCUGCUGCAACAUUACCGUCUGCAAGUGCAACACCAGCCUGUGCAAAGAGAAGCCCCCCGUAUGCCCGCUGGGAUUCGAAGUGAAGAGCAAGAUGGUGCCUGGAAGGUGCUGUCCCUUCUACUGGUGUGAGUCCAAGGGGGUGUGCGUUCACGGGAAUGCUGAGUACCAGCCCGGUUCUCCAGUUUAUUCCUCCAAGUGCCAGGACUGCGUGUGCACGGACAAGGUGGACAACAACACCCUGCUCAACGUCAUCGCCUGCAGCCACGUGCCCUGCAACACCUCCUGCAGCCCUGGCUUCGAACUCAUGGAGGCCCCCGGGGAGUGCUGUAAGAAGUGUGAACAGACGCACUGUAUUAUCAAACGGCCCGACAACCAGCACGUCAUCCUGAAGCCCGGGGACUUCAAGAGCGACCCGAAGAACAACUGCACAUUCUUCAGCUGCGUGAAGAUCCACAACCAGCUCAUCUCGUCCGUCUCCAACAUCACCUGCCCCAACUUCGAUGCCAGCAUUUGCAUCCCGGGCUCCAUCACACUCAUGCCCAAUGGAUGCUGCAAGACCUGCACCCCUCGCAAUGAGACCAGGGUGCCCUGCUCCACCGUCCCCGUCACCACGGAGGUUUCGUAUGCUGGCUGCACCAAGACCGUCCUCAUGAAUCAUUGCUCCGGGUCCUGCGGGACAUUUGUCAUGUACUCGGCCAAGGCCCAGGCCCUGGACCACAGCUGCUCCUGCUGCAAAGAGGAGAAAACCAGCCAGCGUGAGGUGGUCCUGAGCUGCCCCAAUGGCGGCUCGCUGACACACACCUACACCCACAUCGAGAGCUGCCAGUGCCAGGACACUGUCUGCGGGCUCCCCACCGGCACCUCCCACCGGUCCAGGCGCUCCCCUAGGCAUCUGGGGAGCGGGUGAGCGGGGUGGGCACAGCCCCCUUCACUGCCCUCCACAGCUUUACCGCCCCCGGACCCUCUGAGCCUCCUAAGCUCGGCUUCCUCUCUUCAGAUAUUUAUUGUCUGAGUCUUUGUUCAGUCCUUGCUUUCCAAUAAUAAACUCAGGGAGACAUGCUGC
rnacentral:sRNA from 1 species